AGAGUUUGAUCCUGGCUCAGGACAAACGCUGGCGGCGUGCCUAACACAUGCAAGUCUUACGAGAACCACGGAGCUUGCUCCGUGUAGUAAAGUGGCGAAUGGGUGAGUAACACGUAGAUAACCUACCUCGGGGAAGGGGAUAACCUCUCGAAAGAGGGGCUAAUACCCUAUAAUGCAGCGGGCUCUUCGGAGCAUGUUGUUAAAGCUGGGGACCCUUCGGGGCCUAGCACCUUGAGAUGGGUCUGCGCUUGAUUAGUUAGUUGGUGAGGUAAAGGCUCACCAAGACGACGAUCAAUAACUGGUCUGAGAGGAUGUCCAGUCACACUGGGAUUGAGAUACGGCCCAGACUCCUAAGGGAGGCAGCAGUGAGGAAUUUUGCGCAAUGCUCGAAAAAGUGACGCAGCAACGCCGCGUGGUCGAUGAUGACUCUGAGGAGUGUAAAGACCUGUUGGGAGGGAAGAAAACCCCAUACAAAUAGUACUGGGAAUUGACGGUACCUCUCAUAGAAAGCUCCGGCUAACUUCGUGCCAGCAGCCGCGGUAAUACGAGGGGAGCAAGCGUUGUCCGGAUUUAUUGGGCGUAAAGGGCGUGUAGGUGGAUUGAUAAGUCAGGUUUUAAAUAGUACGGCUCAACCGUAUCAAUGGGUCUGAUACUGUCAGUCUUGAGUUCGAGAGAGGGAAGCGGAAUUCCUGGUGUAGCGGUGAAAUGCCAUGAUAUCAGGAGGAACACCGGCGGCGAAAGCGGCUUCCUGGCUCGUAACUGACACUGAGGCGCGAAAGCGUGGGUAG
rnacentral:rRNA from 1 species